rnacentral:rRNA from 1 species
CCUACGGGGUGCAGCAGUGAGGAAUAUUGGUCAAUGGACGAGAGUCUGAACCAGCCAAGUCGCGUGAAGGAUGACUGCCCUAUGGGUUGUAAACUUCUUUUAUAAAGGAAUAAAAAGUGGCACGUGUGCCUUGUUGCAUGUACUUUAUGAAUAAGCAUCGGCUAAAUCCGUGCCAUCAGCCGCGGUAAUACGGAGGAUGCGAGCGUUAUCCGGAUUUAUUGGGUUUAAAGGGUGCGUAGAUGGGUUGUUAAGUCAGUUGUGAAAGUUUGCGGCUCAACCGUACAAUUGCAAUUGAUACUGGCAGUCUCGAGUAGAGUUGAGGUAGGCGGAAUUCGUGGUGUAGCGGUGAAAUGCUUAGAUAUCACGAAGAACCCCGAUUGCGAAGGCAGCAUACCAGACUCAGACUGACAUUGAUGCUCGAAAGCGUGGGUAUCAAACAGGAUUAGAUACCCUAGUAGUG